rnacentral:lncRNA from 1 species
UCCAUAGGCUACAUUUAUGAGUUUCCUUUCUGAUGGAAUCAAUCCGCCAUAGAAGAAUUGAAUGAGGGCUUUGUCUGACAUAUCAUGUUGUGGACAACCUGUACAUAGUCUUUCAAACCUUUCCCAAUAAUCAUAUAAGUCCUCAGUUGGUUUUUGCCUUAUGCUAGUGAUUUCUCUUAUUAUGCCAAUUGAUUUAGAUGGUGGGAAGUAUUUGUCCAAAAAGGCUUGGACCAUAUCAUCCCAAGAAGUUAUAGAUCCAGGUGGCAAAUAAAAUAACCAAUCCUUAGCAUGGUCAUCUAAUGAAAAAGGGAAAGCUCUUAGUUUAACAUGAUCUUCAGAGAUCCCUUGAGGUCUCAUGGAUGAGCAAAUAAUUUUAAAUUCUUUUAAGUGCUUAUGUGGAUUUUCAUUUUGCAAACCUCUAAAUUUAGGGAGAUA